CAGCCGCCGCGGUAAAACGAAGGGUGCAAGCGUUGUCCGGAAUUACUGGGCGUAAAGAGUUCGUAGGCGGUUUGUCGCGUCGUUUGUGAAAACCAGCAGCUCAACUGCUGGCUUGCAGGCGAUACGGGCAGACUCGAGUACUGCAGGGGAGACUGGAAUUCCUGGUGUAGCGGUGAAAUGCGCAGAUAUCAGGAGGAACACCGGUGGCGAAGGCGGGUCUCUGGGCAGUAACUGACGCUGAGGAACGAAAGCGUGGGUAGCGAACAGGAUUAGAUACCCCUGUAGUCCCUGUCUCUUAUAC
rnacentral:rRNA from 1 species